AAUAUUUACUCGGGGUGACAUCUACUGUCGAUAACGCGUUCGGGACUCUCAAGUGUAUUCACACGCUCGAGAAUUCCUCGCUCUCUGAUUCGUCGGCUUACCUCUCUCCACGUACACCAAGGGCUGAACGCGUACGUGCCGCAAGUGAACAGACUUUUUCCAUUGGUAUUGGUCUUGUUUUCGGGCGCUGGCCACGAGGCGUGUUCGAGGGGCGACAGCGACGUUAGAGUCAACCGGUACAGAUUAUCUCUGGAAUCGGAAUCGUUUACUGCUUUCCGUGUUUACACGCGUGGGACGGAGGACAUGUGGAAAAUGGCGCGCGCCGCCUUUCGAGCUGUCGCGCAAUCACGCCGCAGGAAACUAGCAUAAACGGCGCCUACGUGGGCGCUACGCCGCGACGAGAACCGACCUGACCAAAAGUGAUCGUUAGUCGAGCGAAGCGGCUCCAGCUCGGUCGUCGAGUAUAUACGUCGGACGUGUGCCGAUAUUACGGCUAAAAUUUUGAGAAAGGACGCGAGGCGAAAGUCCAGAGCAGAGCAUUAACCCGUUGCAAAAGUAACUAGCUAAGAUUUGGAACAAAGUUAUUUUGAGUCAGAGAUUUUGUAAUGGUUGAAGUUGAGAAUAAAGUUAUUGUUCGAAGCAUGGUAUAACCGCGGAUCAACUAUAAUAGCUACGAAUAAAUGUUAUUCAAGCAUUUUAAAUAAUGUUACUUAAGUAAUUACUUAGAGUACCUUUAUUUUUAAAUUUGGCUAGUUACUUUUUUAACGGACCAAUGCGCAACUUUCAACCUCAGCCAAUUAAAACUAUAUAGUUAUCUGCGAUGCUUUGAAGAUUUAACGAGAUAAUUUAUCGAAGUAACUUAUUCUUAAUUUUAAAAAUUAAAAUUUUGCAUAUUUCUAAUCUCAGAGACGUGUGCACACGUAGCGAGUAUCGCUUAGAAUUCGACGUAUUUAACAAAUAGAGUGAUAUAUUCUUAAAGAUUAAAAUUCUUCGCAUAAUCUUUAAGCAACCAUCCCAGUUUCGUACGUUCAAGGAAACUCUGUAAUCUUAUUGCUUUCUUGUCGUUAAAAACUAUACGUGUUCGUUCGAGUUUUAAUCGUUUCGUAAAAUUUUCACGUGUUAUACAAACGAAUUUCUACACGUAUGAUUUUAAGUGGCAUACACUGUAUGUACGAGCAAUCCUAUUGAGACAGAUUGUUUCCUGUUCGUUAAACGAAUAGGAUGGAUCAUUUGCCAACCUCGUUCUCGUCCGACGUAACUUCUGGGCACGACUCGCGUUUGUUCAACGUCUAUAAUGGAGUUCGAUGGCCGCACGCAUAUACAGAAUGAAAUUACGACCCGAUUCGAAAUCGAAUUUUUAACCGUUUAAGGAUUUAGAUUCGAUAGAAUACAGCAUCCCUAUUCCCUUCCAUUGUCUCUCUGCGAUUCGGUAUAUUUUUCGAUGAAAUUCAAUUCCAGAAAUUGUAAAAAAUAUUCGAAUCGAUCGGCCAAUCCGAAACACUAACCUGUUAACUUACACAACGGAAAUGCAAUAGGAUCGCAACGGUGUCGCGUCGCUCGUGCGCAUCUACCCCAGUGAUCUCCAAUCUAUGAAGUCGUUAUUCAUUUUUUAAUUCACUCUACAUAUUCACGUUUUAUAAGAAUAUUAAAUCUCUCGUCAACUCGUGAA